GUGACGGCGUACCUUUUGUAUAAUGGGUCAGCGACUUAUAUUCUGUAGCAAGGUUAACCGAAUAGGGGAGCCGUAGGGAAACCGAGUCUUAAUAGGGCGUCUAGUUGCAGGGUAUAGACCCGAAACCGAGUGAUCUAUCCAUGAGCAGGUUGAAAGUGACGUAACAGUUACCGGAGGACCGAACCCACUGUCGUUGAAAAGCCAGGGGAUGACUUGUGGAUAGGGGUGAAAGGCUAAUCAAACUCGGUGAUAGCUGGUUCUCCCCGAAAGCUAUUUAGGUAGCGCCUCGGACGAACACCAUUGGGGGUAGAGCACUGUUUCGGCUAGGGGGUCAUCUCGACUUACCAAACCGAUGCAAACUCCGAAUACCGAUGAGUGAUAUCCGGGAGACAGACGGCGGGUGCUAACGUCCGUCGUCAAGAGGGAAACAACCCAGACCGCCAGCUAAGGCCCCAAAUUCCUAGUUAAGUGGGAAACGAUGUGGGAAGGCACAGACAGCUAGGAGGUUGGCUUAGAAGCAGCCAUCCUUUAAAGAAAGCGUAAUAGCUCACUAGUCGAGUCGGCCUGCGCGGAAGAUGUAACGGGGCUCAAACUAGGAGCCGAAGCUGCGGAUUUAAUUGUUUCAAUUAAGUGGUAGGGGAGCAUUGUGUAAGCCUGUGAAGGUGUGUUGUAAAGCAUGCUGGAGGUAUCACAAGAGCGAAUGCUGACGUGAGUAACGACAAUGCGAGUGAAAAGCUCGCACGCCGGAAGACCAAGGGUUCCAGUCCAACGUUAAUCGGGGCUGGGUGAGUCGACCCCUAAGGCGAGGCCGAAAGGCGUAGUCGAUGGGAAAUCGGUUAAUAUUCCGAUACUUGUUUAUGAUGCGAUGGAGGGACGGAGAAGGUUAUGCCAGCUUGGCGAUGGUUGUCCAAGUGGAAGGAUGUAGUUAGGUUUAGUAGGCAAAUCCGCUAGACUAUUAAUGAGAUCUGAUAGCAAGCUGUACUUGUACAGCGAAGUGGCAAAUACCCUGCUUCCAGGAAAAGCUUCUAAGCGAUAGUCAUAAAGAAAUCGUACCCUAAACCGACACAGGUGGUCAGGUAGAGAAUACCAAGGCGCUUGAGAGAACUCUGCUGAAGGAACUAGGCAAAAUGGUACCGUAACUUCGGGAGAAGGUACGCUGCCGAUGGUGAGUAGACAUGCUCUACAAAGCUAUUGGCAGUCGCAGAUACCAGGCCGCUGCAACUGUUUAUUAAAAACACAGCACUCUGCAAACACGAAAGUGGACGUAUAGGGUGUGAUGCCUGCCCGGUGCUGGAAGGUUAAUUGAUGGGGUUAGCGUAAGCGAAGCUCUUGAUCGAAGCCCCAGUAAACGGCGGCCGUAACUAUAACGGUCCUAAGGUAGCGAAAUUCCUUGUCGGGUAAGUUCCGACCUGCACGAAUGGCAUAAUGAUGGCGGCGCUGUCUCCAGCAGAGACUCAGUGAAAUCGAAAUCGCAGUGAAGAUGCUGUGUACCCGCGGCUAGACGGAAAGACCCCGUGAACCUUUACUACAGCUUUACAUUGAACUUUGACCUUACCUGUGUAGGAUAGGUGGGAGGCUUUGAAGCAGGCACGCCAGUGUCUGUGGAGCCAUCCUUGAAAUACCACCCUGGUAAUGUUGGGGUUCUAACUCAAGCUUAACAGAGCUGAGGACAAUGUAUGGUGGGUAGUUUGACUGGGGCGGUCUCCUCCUAAAGAGUAACGGAGGAGUACGAAGGUGCGCUCAGAACGGUCGGAAAUCGUUCGAAGAGUAUAAAGGCAAAAGCGCGCUUAACUGCGAGACCCACAAGUCGAGCAGAUACGAAAGUAGGUCUUAGUGAUCCGGUGGUUCUGUAUGGAAGGGCCAUCGCUCAACGGAUAAAAGGUACUCUGGGGAUAACAGGCUGAUACCGCCCAAGAGUUCAUAUCGACGGCGGUGUUUGGCACCUCGAUGUCGGCUCAUCUCAUCCUGGGGCUGAAGCAGGUCCCAAGGGUAUGGCUGUUCGCCAUUUAAAGAGGUACGCGAGCUGGGUUUAGAACGUCGUGAGACAGUUCGGUCCCUAUCUACCGUGGGCGUUGGAAAUUUGAGAGGAUCUGCUCCUAGUACGAGAGGACCAGAGUGGACGAACCUCUGGUGUUUCGGUUGUGACGCCAGUCGCAUUGCCGAGUAGCUAUGUUCGGAUGGGAUAACCGCUGAAAGCAUCUAAGCGGGAAGCCCACCUUAAGAUUAGAUUUCCCUAAAGAGCCGUUGUAGACUACGACGUUGAUAGGUUGGGUGUGGAAGCACAGCGAUGUGUGUAGCUAACCAAUACUAAUUGCUCGUUUGGCUUGACUAU
rnacentral:rRNA from 1 species